rnacentral:rRNA from 1 species
GACAGAGGGUGCAAACGUUGUUCGGAAUUACUGGGCGUAAAGCGCGUGUAGGCGGCUGCGCAAGUCGGAUGUGAAAUCCCAUGGCUCAACCAUGGAAGUGCACCCGAAACUGCGUAGCUAGAGUCUCGGAGAGGAAGGCGGAAUGCUUGGUGUAGAGGUGAAAUUCGUAGAUAUCAAGCGGAACACCGGUGGCGAAGGCGGCCUUCUGGACGGAUACUGACGCUGAGACGCGACAGCGUGGGGAGCAAACAGG